rnacentral:rRNA from 1 species
AUUGAACGCUGGCGGCAGGCUUAACACAUGCAAGUCGAGCGAGCGGCGGACGGGUGAGUAAUGUCUGGGAAACUGCCUGAUGGAGGGGGAUAACUACUGGAAACGGUAGCUAAUACCGCAUACCAUCAGAUGUGCCCAGAUGGGAUUAGCUAGUAGGUGGGGUAAUGGCUCACCUAGGCGACGAUCCCUAGCUGGUCUGAGAGGAUGACCAGCCACACUGGACCGGAGCCACGGUCCAGACCACUACGGGAGGCAGGAGUGGAGAGAAUAACACUAGGGACGCAGGCCUAGUGCAGCCAAGCCGCGUGUGUGAAAAGGGCCCUGGGGUUGUGAAGCAAAUUCAGCGAGGAGCCGUUACUCGCAGAAGAAGCACCGGCUAAUUCCGUGCCAGCAGCCGCGGUAAUAC